GCCCUGUGGGUGUGGUCACCUCACACAAGCCAGCCCAGGCUGCCUGGCACUGUUUGCUGACAGGCAGGUCCUAAGCAAUGGAACAGCAGAAGCCAAGUGGGAACUUGUGUUUGUACUGCCAAUCUCCAUGGCAACAGGUUAGUCAGCACAGAGAACAUUCUGAAACUGGUAGAAAAACCUCAGCCCCACCUUGAAAAGCCAUUCCUCCUUGGGCAGCCAGCAGAUCCCUGGGGCCAAAUCCCUAGCAGACAAACCAAACAUGCAGAUACUUUGUACAAACAGACAGCUGAUUCCCAGAUGGUUUUUACCCCUAAAAUGUACAGCAAUAGUGACCCUAACUCUGACAGCCCAGAAGCUCCUAGCACCCAUCUACCACCGAUUAGCUGAGGUUUGCAGACAGCACCUGAUGCAGGACCUUGAAGGACAUGGAGCCCCAGGCCAGGGUGUUGGAGCCUAGCCUGAACUACAUAAGCUCCUGUCUCAACAAAACAAAAAAUGAGGAUGAAGAGAAGGCUCAGCGGAUAAAGGUGCUUUCUGCUAAGCCUGAUUGCCUAAGUGGGAUCCCUGGUACCCACGUGGUAGAAGAAGAGAGCACACUACUGAAAGCUGCCCCUUAGACCUCAUAUAGUAACAUAGCAUGCCCCCCCGACCCUGCAAUAAAAAGUUGUUUAUGAAAA